GUUCAGGAGUGAGCGUGUCGGUUCCGGAACCCGCGGCAAGUCCCCCUGACCGGGGCCUGUCCGUAGCGGGUGCGAGGCCCAUAGCCGCGGGGUCCGGUCCGAAUGCGAUCUCCUUGGAGUCGGGUUGCUUGGGAGUGCAGCCCUAAUCGGGUGGUAAACUCCACCUAAGGCUAAAUACCGCCGUGAGACCGAUAGCAAACAAGUACCGUGAGGGAAAGUUGCAAAGAACUUUGAAGAGAGAGUUCAAGAGUACGUGAAACUGCUCAGAGGUAAACGGGUGGGCCCUCGAAAUCCUGUGGCGAGAGGAUUCAGUCUGUCGCGGCGGACGACCCGGAGGAAGUCAAUCAGGGCCUCUGCCUCAUGCGGGCCGUCUUCUGGGUCGACCUCAUCCGCUUCAGACGCAUUUGACUCUCGUCCCGAGGACGCUGCAGCCGGUUCGGAAGUGCAAGCGCGACGGCCUGAGGGCCGGGAGCCGGCAGGUGGCCGGUGGCUCGUCUCGUGCGGGUCGCCGGUUGUUAGCCAUCCCGGCAGUGGCUCGUCUCCGGACCGUGGUGUCGAGAGUCCCUUCGGGGAUUCUUCGUCUCCUACCGUCGCCGGACAGAUCCCGGACAGGGCGUGCGGUCGCCGUACGUUUCGCACUCCGCAGGAGUGGUCGAACGCGCCGCGUGCCCUUACCGCCGGGACGGAUCUGCGGGGGACUGGAGGCUCGCAGCGAGUAGGUCGGUCACCCACCCGACCCGUCUUGAAACACGGACCAA
rnacentral:rRNA from 1 species